GCUCCAUCCCAUGCCAUUUAAUUCCAUUUUCUUCCUUAGCUUCUCCAUGCCUUGGCUUCCCUGUUGGGGUGAUUUCAGCACCACAUGGAGGACAGCAGCCUGGGAGCUGUCCAUGGAGCUGAAUUCACGGGAGGGCACCUGGUGGAGAAGGCGGGGUCGGGCUGGAGGUGGGGGUGGGAGGGAAUCAGCAGGGGAUGGCCAGAAAUGGAGGGAGCUUGCGUCCAUUGGGCACAACUGGGUCUUCCACGCCAUGACAGCUCAUGGAGUCAGCCUUUCCUGUCGUUCCAGGUAGCCCCAGUUGGGAGCUGAGGUGUGUUGAUUGGGGCUCUGGGAACCAUAGCCUACCAGCUGUGGCUUGGCCAUCCCCUCUGCCAGCGCUUUCCCGCCCAUCAGCCCUUUUCCCUGGAGUCCCUCCUUCAGCCAGGUCCUGAAAAGUCAUACCUUUUGGCCAAGCUGCUGAAAAUACCACUCAGCCAGAACUCAUGUGCUCAUGCCAGCCUCAUUCAUGACACCCCCCAAACCAGAAACAGCCCAGGAGCCGAUCAACAGCUUCAUGGGAAAAUGUAUUGCAGUCUAUCCCAUCACCGGGCUCUUCCGCGGCAGUGGAGACGGGCGAAUCACGGUCUAUCCCAUCGCCGGGCUCUUCCGCGGCAGUGGAGAUGGGCGAAUUGCAGUUAUGCGCAGCACGGAAGCCUCUCUCAAACAAUCACAUUGAGCAGAAGUGGCCAGGCCCAAUUCUGUGGAAUUCUGUGUGGAUCACAAACAGGCAACAUAGAGGAUGAUGGAGACUCACUGUGUGGCCGAACCUGGAGUUGCAGCGGUGGGACCUCGGCUCACGGCAGCCUCUGCCUCCCAGUUGAAGUGAUUCUCAUGCCUCAGCCUCCUGAGUAGCUGGAAUUACAUGCGCCUGCCACCAUGCCAGGUUAAUUUUUCGUAUUUUUAGUAGAGAUUGGGUUUCACCAGGUUGGCCAGGCUGAUCUCGAACUUCUGAUCUCAGGUGAUCUGCCCACUUUGGCCUCCCAAAGUGCUGGGAUUACAAGGCAUGAGCCACGGCCCCCAGCCCAAAAUGGUUAAUUUUAUGUUACGUGAAUUUCACUCAAUAAAAAAAAAACAGG
rnacentral:lncRNA from 1 species